ACUAGUUUAAUUGCAAAAAUUUUUCUUGAAUAUAAAUACAGCAUCUACCUGAGAGAGUUUCAGAAUUGUUCUACAGCUCAAAUUACAAUAUGUCUUUCCAACGUUUCCUCUUCGUUCUUGUAGUGUUGGCUGUUUUUGCUGUUUCAGCAAUGGCAAAAGUCCACCAUUAUCAAACAGGAGCAGCACCAGAACCAGAAGAAACAGAACAAGGAAUGGGAAUUUUAGGUGGAAUCAAGGAGGGACUCGAUGACAUACUCAGUACAGCUGGAGUUCACAACCAGUAAUCGGAAUUCAAAAUGAGAAAUAAAAAAUGCGCUGUUGGAAUUGAACCUUUGGCGAUUCAAUAGUAAUGUUCAAUGAAACAAUCAGUUAAUCAAGAUAUCCUUAUCAACAAAAAAUUUUAAACUACUUGUAAAUUUUCUCAACCAGUGUAAUAAAAAUGACUAAUGUGUAAUAAAAUUGUUAUUUUUAACAUUCAAA